rnacentral:lncRNA from 1 species
GGCUAAAGAGUCCAAUUGGAUUGUGACUGGUGAGGAGUCUCACUAGGACUGAAACUCUGAAGGAGAGUUUCACUGAGACUAGGACUCUACUAUUUAUAAAGAAUUAAUUAAUAAUUAUUAAAUUACUAAUUGACUCAAUUUGAUUGAGUAAAGAGUUUUGGAUUAAGUCUAACUGAAUUAGAUUCGGUUUGACUCAGAAUGAGUUUGAUAUAAUCAAUCCUGAUUAUAAGAAAAAUUUGAUCCUGAUUCGAUCAGAGUUUGGACUCAGCUAAUUCUUAAUUGGAUUAAAAAUUUGAUGAGA